AUAUAUAUAUAUAUAUAUAUAUAUAUAAUUUUCAUGGCUAUACAAUGGACCAUCCAGGGGCUAUUUUGCUAUUUGCUAAACUAUUCCCUGUUACUGAAUACCUGGUUAAUUCCAAUCGUGGACACACUGUGAAGAACACCUUUUGACAUAAAACCUCACAUAAUUCCCAGUUAUUAUUAUUAUUUUUGGUACCGGGAUCAAACUUGGGUCCUUGGGCUUGCAAGGCAGGCAGCGGAACCAUUGAGCUAAAUCCCCGGCCCUCCUAGUUAUUUUCUUUGGUGGAUUUUAGGAGACUAUGGUGCUUCAAGGCAUGGAUUCUGGAGCUGGACUUCCCAACCCUGCCUGGCACUGCCCCUUCCAGCUGUGGGACAGUGGUGACUUUGAGUAAGUGACAAAGGGCUGUGCCUCAGUUUCUGACAGUGUGGGAAAGCACAGCCCAGGAGCCCUGGGCACCCGGAGAGGGCUCUGUGAGGGGACUCACUGCCUGCUUGCCUGGUCUCCCUCCAUGGACACCACUGGUCGGGAACAUCAGCCGCUCCAUCUUUAAGCAUUUGUGGAGGAGGAAACCAAGGCCACAAGUGGCUGUUUCCAUGAGAGGGCCUCACACCCAGGACCUUCCUCCAAGGGGAUGGACUUGCUGUCACUUCAGGGAGCCCCAGGCAUAUGUCCUGAGCUAAGGUAUGCGAGAUGAUUCAGCAGGGCAUUUCCUUCCCCAACCCCUUUUUUCCCAGCUCUGGGGAUGAAACCCAUAGCCUUCUCAGCCAGCUACAUCCCCAGCCCUUUUGUGAAUUUUUUUUUUUCGGUACCAGGGAUCGAACUCAGGACCUUGAGCUCCAGGGGCAGGCUCCGUGCCACUGAGGUAAAGCCCUGGCCCCUCCUUCUGUGAAAUUUUUUUUUGGUACCAGGGAUCGAUCUCAGGACCUUGCGCUUGCAAGGUAGGCACCGGAACCACUGAGCUAAAUCCUGGCCCUGUGAAUUUUUGACAUAGAAUCUCACUAGGUCCUUAAAUUUCCUGGCCUAAGCUCCAGCUUUCAACCCUCCUACAUCAGCCUUCCAGAGUGCUGGAAUUACAG
rnacentral:lncRNA from 1 species